UUUUAUUUCUUACUUGGCAACUGUAGUUUAUAUUUGCUAUGUUGUAUUGUAGGCUAUUUCUGUGGCUGAAAGAGUUGCUGAUGAGUGUUGUGAACCUUCACCAGUCUUGCACAAUCCUCAGAUAGAGGUUCGGGGAGCCCAAAAGUGACUGAGUGGCAGCUUGUUUGAAGUUUACAUUCUUCUUUCCAUGGGCAAACACUGGGAUUGCUAAAGGGUGAGUAAGAUCUACUUCUUAAUUCCCUUAAAUUGUAAAAUAAUGUGGUGGGUUGUUGUUUAGGAGCAAGCAGGUGGCUUGCAUGGAGAGAAAAGGUGGAAUAUAUUGGGAGUGUUGUUUGUUUUGUGAAUGUUAACAUAUUGUUGUCAAUUUCUUGUAUUUUGUCUAAGUAAAUACAUAUAGUAUGCUGUG